GCGUACACAUGCAGUCGAACGAUCCCUGUUUAGCUUGCUAUUCAGGGAGAGUGGCGAACGGGUGAGUAACACGUGAGUAAUCUGCCCUCGAGUGGGGAAUAACUUCGCGAAAGCGGAGCUAAUACCGCAUAACACUCUUCAGUACAAGCUGUAUGAGUCAAAGCCUUCGGGCGCUUGAGGAUGAGCUCGCGGCCUAUUAGCUAGUUGGUAGGGUAACGGCCUACCAAGGUAACGAUGGGUAGCCGGCCUGAGAGGGUGUACGGCCACACUGGGACUGCGACACGGCCCAGACUCCUACGGGAGGCAGCAGUGGGGAAUUUUGCGCAAUGGGGAAACCCUGACGCAGCGACGCCGCGUGGAGGAUUAAGGCUUUCGAGUUGUAAACUCCUGUCAGAGGAGAAGAAUGCCCGAGUAAUCGGGUUUGACGGUAUCCUCAGAGGAAGCCCCGGCUAACUACGUGCCAGCAGCCGCGGUAAUACGUAGGGGGCAAACGUUGCUCGGAAUUACUGGGCGUAAAGGGUGUGUAGGUGGCUGAGAAAGUCAAAGAUGAAAUCCCGAGGCUUAACCUCGGAACUGUCCUUGAAACUGUUCAGCUUGAGGAUAGUCGAGGAGAACGGAAUUCCCGGUGGAGCGGUGAAAUGCGUAGAUAUCGGGAGGAACACCAGAGGCGAAGGCGGUUCUCUAGGCUAAUCCUGACACUGAGACACGAAAGCUAGGGGAGCGAACGGGAUUAGAUACCCCGGUAGUCCUAGCCGUAAACGAUGGGCACUAGAUGUUCCUACUUUUUGUGGGAGUGUCGAAGUUAACGCGUUAAGUGCCCCGCCUGGGGAGUACGGUCGUAACGCUGAAACUCAAAGGAAUUGACGGGGACCCGCACAAGCGGUGGAGCAUGUGGUUUAAUUCGACGCAACGCGAAAAACCUUACCUGGGCUUGAACUGCUGGUAGUAAAACCCUGAAAGGGGAGUGAUCCUGCUUGCAGGAAGCCAGCAGAGGUGCUGCACGGCUGCCGUCAGCUCGUGUUCGUG
rnacentral:rRNA from 1 species